AGAGUUUGAUCCUGGCUCAGGAUGAACGCUAGCGGCAGGCUUAACACAUGCAAGUCGAGGGGUAACGAUGGUGCUUGCACCAGGCGACGACCGGCGCACGGGUGAGUAACGCGUAUGCAACCUACCUUUAACUGGGGGAUAGCCCAGGGAAACUUGGAUUAAUACCCCAUAGUUUGUACGAUCCGCAUGGUUGUGCAAUAAAGUUCCGGCGGUUAAAGAUGGGCAUGCGUAUCAUUAGUUAGUUGGUGGGGUAACGGCCCACCAAGGCGACGAUGAUUACGGGGUCUAAAAGGAUGGUCCCGCACACUGGUACUGAGACACGGACCAGACUCCUACGGGAGGCAGCAGUGAGGAAUAUUGGUCAAUGGGGGCAACCCUGAACCAGCCAUGCCGCGUGAAGGAAGACUGCCCUAUGGGUUGUAAACUUCUUUUAUAUGGGAAUAAUUGCGUUACCAGUAGCGCGUUGAAGGUACCAUAUGAAUAAGCAUCGGCUAACUCCGUGCCAGCAGCCGCGGUAAUACGGAGGAUGCAGGCGUUAUCCGGAUUUAUUAGGUUUAAAGGGUGCGUAGGCGGGCCUUUAAGUCAGUGGUGAAAGUUUGCGGCUCAACCGUAAAAUUGCCAUUGAUACUGGAGGCCUUGAGUAUACAGGAAGUAGGCGGAAUGUGUAGUGUAGCGGUGAAAUGCUUAGAUAUUACACAGAACACCGAUUGCGAAGGCAGCUUACUAUAGUAUAACUGACGCUGAUGCACGAAAGCGUGGGUAGCGAACAGGAUUAGAUACCCUGGUAGUCCACGCCGUAAACGAUGAUAACUGGUUGUGCGCGAUACACAGUGCGCGACUGAGCGAAAGCAUUAAGUUAUCCACCUGGGGAGUACGUUGGCAACAAUGAAACUCAAAGGAAUUGACGGGGGCCCGCACAAGCGGAGGAACAUGUGGUUUAAUUCGAUGAUACGCGAGGAACCUUACCUGGGCUUAAAUGUACGUUGCAUUCCCGAGAAAUCGGGAUUCCCUUCGGGGCUAUGUACAAGGUGCUCAUGGUUGUCGUCAGCUCGUGCCGUGAGGUGUCGGGUUAAGUCCCAUAACGAGCGCAACCCCUAUCGUUAGUUGCUAGCAGGUAAUGCUGAGGACUCUAGCGAAACUGCCGGUGUAAACCGUGAGGAAGGUGGGGAUGACGUCAAAUCAGCACGGCCCUUAUGUCCAGGGCUACACACGUGUUACAAUGUCGGUACAAAGGGCAGCUACCUGGCAACAGGAUGCUAAUCUCAAAAGCCGAUCUCAGUUCGGAUUGGAGUCUGCAACUCGACUCCAUGAAGUUGGAUUCGCUAGUAAUCGUAUAUCAGCCAUGAUACGGUGGAUACGUUCCCGGGCCUUGUACACACCGCCCGUCAAACCAUGGAAGCUGGGGGUACCUGAAGUACGUCACCGCAAGGAGCGUCCUAGGGUAAAUCUGGUGACUGGGGUUAAGUCGGAACAAGGUA
rnacentral:rRNA from 1 species